rnacentral:lncRNA from 10 species
AAAACCAUGAUUUUACCCUGUAGUCCAUCUAAUUUCUGUGUUACUUUCUCAACGUCUUGAAAAUACUUUUCAGCUGUUUUUAUGUCUCCAAUCUGCUUUGACAAAAUUUAGUCAGUUUAGUUGACAAAAGAAAUAUUAAGUCUAUACUCAUAUAUUUAGUUCCCUAAUAUCAUGUUAGAAUAUGAAGACAUUUAUAUGUCAGGCAGAGGAAAACUUCAGUAACCAUUUAAUCAUUUUUUAAUAAAAAGGCAAAAGACAUUUAAGAUACAGUGGAAUGUUAAUGUUCUAUAUGUCAGAAACUAAGUUGCUAAUAUACACGCCUUAUUUAAGAGUCUUAUAGUUUAGUAAUUUUUACCUUUUGGAAUGAAUUCUGGCAGAGCAUUAGAUAAAAUAAAAUGAAUAACUAAUAAGAUGAAACAUAAAAUACUUAAAAUAUUGGUAUAAUAUGAGCAGGUCCUACGUCAACUUAUGAGUUACUUGUGGCUAGUAAAAUGGUAGGUGCCACCACAUUUGCAAAUUGCAAAGUAAUAUUUUGACCAAAUAAUAUAGAAUUCAACUGUAAAAAACAAGCCAAACCAAACUCAAACCCACUCUUAUCACGCAUGUCAGGAAACCCACCGGCUGCCCGACUGAAAUGCAGCCGGAUGCAGCAGGCCUGUGGCAGAGGAGGCCUGGGGGGUGGAAGGCUGAGUGCCCCAGCCCUGACUCCUGAGGCCACAGCUUGGUUUUACAAAGGCAGACUUGGGUUUUCUUUCACCUCUAGAAGUGUAAGGAAGGGAAUAAAUGAUCUAAGGCUUACAAUAAGAAAUAGAUACAAAUGAAAGAAAAGUCCUAUUAUGGCCCAAGCCGCGCUCACGAGGGUAAAGACAGAGUUGCUUUGUGUCCGGGGCACAGCCUGCGGGAGCCAGAAUGUGACAGCGAGCUCUGUUAUCAUGGCAGCAGCAGAAACUUAACAGAAUGCUGUCCUCUGUCUCGAUGAGAAACAAGCUGAAUGCGCGCGGCUCACCUCCAUGAGGAGGGCUGGGGCACCCAUCACUAUCAUACUGAGCAGCCUAGUUAACUCUUAGACUGUCCACGCCAAGCAUCUGUCCAGCAUUAAAACAAGCCUGCUAACUUCUCAGAUGACUGGUGGGGAGAUGGUUCUCCAUGGGUGUCAUGUUUCUGCAUGUCUUCCAAGCACAGACAGUGACAAGGCUUUGUUCAAAGCAUUUACACAAGGAUGCCUGUUUAGAGGACAGCCUUGUAAGCUAAACUGCAUCCCUCUGGGGCAAAGGGCAGGCAGGCUCGCCUCCCAGUAGCAAGGAUUUGGGUGUUCUAAGUUCAGGAUUCCUCUCCAGCCACACAGCCCACUGCAGGCCUCAUGAGGCCCUCGGUGAAGACCCUGAGGAAUCAGGGCCCCGUGGCUGGUGGGAAGAAUGCCACUCUGGCUGUACUGCUGUUGCUGUGUAAUAAAUAGCCUUCCUCUCUAACGUAGGAAUCUUACAUUUUUUGCCAGCAUCCAUGAAAGUGGCAGCUAACUCCACAGCUUGGAAACAGGAUAACAUCUCAGGCCCUUCACAACUGUUGCUGUUAUCCCACAAAAGAAAUACCAUACGAGGAGGAAGAAAAAACAGAAUGAAACAAGAGAAAACACAGGCGUGCACACACACCACACACUGAAUGGCAUCUGUCCAUCGCUGCCCGUCGUCUGCACAGUCCGAAGCCGUUUGAAGUCCACUACUAUCGAUUUCCCACUUGCGGACUAAAAAGAAACCGAAGGCAGCAUGGGCUCCGUGACGCGGCCCUCAGCUCGAACGCCUGCAUCUCCUGUCUAACAGGACCGUGUGAGACACUGAACUGAAGAUGAUUACAGCCCAUCAUCAAGACCGAUCAAGAUUAACGUGUGCCGGCGGCCGUGGCAAGCGCUUACAAGCACAGCUCGCCUGACCCUCGCGACAGCCUGGGAUGCAGAUGCUGUCGCUAGCUUCGCUUUCUAGAUGAAGUCGUCGGGCUUGGAAAGAUGAGACAAUUUUCUGAGGUCACACAGCUAACACAGAACACUGUGGUCAACACCCAGGCUGUCCAACGCCCAGACCGUGUGCUGAUCCUCCGCACUGCAAGGCCUCCUGAGGCUGGCAUGGGACUUUACUCAAUGUCUCAGAGGAAGAUAACAGAGAAAUCUUGGGAUAUUCUUUGCUACCCACUGACUUUCCUGAUGAUUAGAAAGUAACUUGACAUUUUCAGAAUUAUUAAAAUGUAAUUAGGAUACAAAAUCCUACCGAUUUCUAAAAGUUAGGAGCAACUGAAAAAAUUAAACAUAAAAAUGCAAUUAAAAGUAUUCCAGAAUAUGUAGAAAACAAAUCAGUAAAAGACACUAUUAAAAAGGAAAUACAGUGGCUGGGCAUGGUGGCUCACACCUGUAAUCUCAGCCCUUUGGGAGGCCGAGGUGGGAGGAUCGCUGAAUUUCAGGAGUUCAAGACCAGACCGGGCAACAAAGUGAGACCUUGUCUCCAUUAAAAAAGAAAAGAAAAUUAGCCAGGUGUGGCUGUAAGCACCAGGUGUGGCCGUAAGCACUGUGGUCCCCAGCUACAUGAGAGGCUAAGGCAGGUGAAUCUCUUGAGCCCAGGAGUUCUGCAGUGAAUCAUACCUGUGCCACUGCACUCCAGCCUGGCAGACAGAGCAAGAUCCUGUCUCACAAAGAAAAAGACAAAAAACAGUGUAUAAACUAAUCCAGAAAAAGGAAGCAUAAACAGAAAUGUAAAAGUAGAAAUAGCUACAGGCAGAACAAGGAAAUGGAAAUAAUGGUAAGAGCACUGUCUUUUACUCUGUGCGAAUCCACGAGAAAACAGGGACCAAACAGGUGGCUUUCUAGAAAACUCUCAGUUACCAAAAUGGUUCCCAGAAACACAGAAAAAUCCUCAGGCACACAACACUAAGGCAGAUUCAUAAUAAUAAAUUAGGAAAAGCACACAGCACACCUCAUGUGCUCAGCAAAGGCAAUUCUUAGGUGAAUACUCAAACCUUCAGGGAAUAGAUCAUUCCACAUUACUCAAGUUUUCCAGAGAGAGAGAAAGCAAGCUUCUAACUUAUAUGAAGACAGAAAACAGCCACCAUAUCCUUUUGAGAUGUCACCUGUGCACACGCAAACCAGAUACUAACAUCACUUAUAAACGCAGAAACCCGGGGAAACGCCGCCCUGGAGCUCCGACCUUAAGAGCAACACAUGGUCAGUGUUUCCGUGGCAGAAACUGGAACUGUGCGCUGGGUCUGGCCCUCCCCUCCUUGGGCGCUGUCAAGGUUAAUACUGAGUGUCAAUUUAAUUGAAGGAUGCAAAGUAUUGAUCCUGGGUGUGUCUGUGAGGGUGUUGCCAAAGGAGAUGAACACUUGAGUCAGUGGGCUGGGGGAGGCCGACCCGCCCUUAAUCUGGGUAGGCACCAUCUCUUCAGCUGCCAUCACAGCCAGAAUAAAGCAGGCAGAAGUUGGAAAGAGCAGACUUGCCGAGGUUCUGGGACUUGGACUGGCUUCCUUGCUCCUCAGCUAUUGUGGGACCUCACCUUGUGAUCGAGAGUCAAUUCUCCUAAUAAACUCCCCUUCAUAGAUUCAUCUAUUCUAUGAGUCCUGUCCCUCUAGAGAGCCCCAACUAAUACAGGCACUGAGGGGUGGGGGAGAGCUCCAGUUCUCAGCUCCUUCACCUGCUUCUCUGUCACAGUUUUGGGAUUCCUCAUCACCUUGGUGGCACGGAAGCCAUUACAGAUGGGCAAUGGCCAUUUUAAAGUGUUCUCAAGGCGGAGUGUCCUGCAGUCCAUGGCUGUGAGCUGUUGACUGGAGAGGAAGGCAAGAAUGAUUCUUCUCUGUGGUGUGGGAGUCAGAUGAUUUUAAACCAUCCAAAGACAGAACAGCUAUGUUAACAGCCACAUAGGUUGCUAGAUGAUAUUAAAUCUGUAGUCAGCUAGAAAACCCAGUUCUUUUCAUAUUUACCACUGAUCAACUUUAGUCACAGAAGCAUAGGUCUGCAAUUGAUACAGAAAACUCAUUUCAGCUGGGCCCAGUGGCUCAUGCCUGUAAUCCCAGCACUUUGGGAGGCAGAGGCAGGAGGAUUGCUUGAGGCCAGGAGUUUGAGACCAGCCUGGGCAACAUGGCAAGACCCCCUCUCUACAAAAAACUUAGCUGGGCAUGGUGGUGCAUUCCUGUUCCCAGCUACUCGGGAGGCUGAGGCGGGAGGAUUGCUUGAGCCCAGGAGGUCAAGGCUGCAGUGAGCUGCAUUUGCGCCUCUGCACUCCAGUGUGGGUGACAGAGCGAGGCCUCGUCUCAAAAACAGACAAAAAAACCCACCAGAAAAACCCUACCCAAAAACCAACACGGAAAACUUUAGUCUAAAUUUUUAUGUUAUAAAACAUUCUUGUAUUUUAAAGCUUAUCAGAAAAACUGUUCCAUUCCAACUGGGCAAAUCCCCCCAGGCUAAUGUACAUAAACGAAUAAAAGAAAGAUGCGAUCUAUUUCAGAGUACCCUAGCUUCUCUUCCAUGUUUUUCUUGAGUUCUCCUUCACCAGCUCCUCUUCCCGUCCCGGCGUGAGCACAGCAGAGCCGGCCCCAGGGGUGCUCUCCUUUCCCCUGACCCCCCCUCACCUGCUCUCUCUGCAGAACCCGAGGGCCUGCUGGGAACCAGGCAGGCUGUCAAUGCAUAAAUUAGGCUGCAUCCGUGCAGAAGCCUCCUCUACCAGACAAGCUUGACCUUGCCUUCCUUCUCUGUCCUUGUAGAAUCCAGUGUGAGCAAGAAUCCUGCUAAGUCAGUUUAAGAAAAGUCCCCGCCCUCGGUGUCUUAGCACCUGGAGAUCCUACCACCCUGGCCGGCUGUCAGCAACGAUCCUAUCAAGUCUGCUUGGCCAGAAACCCCUUCUUGAAGCUUCCUCUGGGUGAUUUUCCAACCAGGGACGCUGACCCUGACCCUGGUCCCUGGUUGUCAGUUCCCACCUGUCCUCCGUGAAGUCAGAGUUGAGUCCAGUCUCUCCCCUGCUGCAUGCUAGUGCCAUGAAUCGUUUUUAAUUUAGCAGCUGUAAGAGUUCUUCAUAUAUUCUGGAUGUAAGUCUCUUAUCAGAUACGGGAUUUGCAAGCAAUGUCUCCCAUGCCAUAGGUUGUCUUUUUACUUUUUCUUUAUGGUGUCCUUUAAAGCACAACAGUUUUUAGUUUUGGUGAAAUCCCACUUACCUACAUUUUCUUUUUGCUUGCACUUCGGUGUCACAUCAGCAUGAUGAGGCCUCACAGGGUGGCAGGGGCUGGAGGACGCUCUCCCCACUCUUUCCCUGACUGUAGCCAGCACACUCCACGGCUCAGGCUGGCAGCCAGAAGUCAGUCUCUUCUUUUUCUAUUUGAAGGUCUCUGUUGAGCUAUGGCUGAUGUACAGGAACCUGCAUGUCUUCAGAUCGUACAACCUGAGGGAUGCUGGUACGUGGCUGUGUGCGUAAAACCACCCUCCUCGUCGAGACGGUCAAGGUGCCCGCACCCCUCCUGGAGCCUGGGGUCGUGCCCCUCUGUAAAACGUGCUCAAGUCUUUCCCAGCUUCACAGCGCUUCCCUGGCCCUUCCUUCCCUUCUUCCACCUCAGCGUCUCCCCACCCUGCCCUGGGUUCCUGCUCUCUGGGAACUCGGUCAGAGGUGACCUUGGUUCUUGCUGAGGUCCUCUCAGCCAUAGCGGUGAGUGGUCCUGCAUCCCGUCCCCCUUCGUCCUGCCUGGGGUGGCUGGUUUAUCCCAACUUCCCACCACUCCUGCAGUGGCUGAGGCUUUCUCCUGCCUGAUCACCUUGGGCUCUGACCUUUGGUCCAGGACACCGAGGCCUAGGACUGGCCACAGACACUGCAGAACCACCCUGCGCUCAGCUGCCCCAAUGCCAAGCACAGGCCCCUCGUCUGUGCUUGGCUGCUGGACUUGCACCUGCGCACCACAGCUACUUUCCCAGUCCAAGUGAGGAUCCUCUCAGACCCAAGUCCAAGUGAGGACCCUCUCAGUCCCAAGUCCCAGUGAGGACCCUCUAAGACCCAAGUCAAGAGAUUCUGAGGUGGAAUCUAAGUUGGAGUGAAGUAAUUCUAAGAAGUAUGAAUAUAAUGCUUCUUCUGUUUGAAGAUCAGUUGCUUCUGCCCCUCCUUAAUUUAGAUUAUGUGAGAAACUCCUCUGGAAUACAAAUGACUUCAAUCUUGCUUACAACACAGAUUUCCUUCAGAACUGGAAAUUCCCACUGGGCCCCAUUCUCUCUCCUCCUAACCCCCAGCCCCCUUGCUGUGUGGAGGCCCUGGUGCUCUAAAGGAGGCUCUGUGUGAUGAAGAUGAAGGGACUGUGGAAAUGAUCACAGCAGGCAUGUGAGUUUUGAAACACGGCUGUCACCUGUCUGGCGGGUGCGCUGACAGUUGGCAGGGAACGUGGCUAUGAUAGUUCUGCCUGCGGGACGAGGCCGAGGGGGGAGAUGGAUCCUCCCUUAUAUGCAGGCAUUAAACCCCAAGUACAAUUCUGUAAUUUGAGCCAGGGUUUCCAGCUGGAAUGUGAACAGCACACAAACCGAACAGGUGACCCUUUGCUCAGUGCCCAGAAUUAUGCUAUGAAUUUCUUGGAAAGAAUAAGGAUUGCUAUUCAAAAGUAGAAUACGUUUUGAAAUAUUAAAAUUGAAAGUCAGCUCCUCGGAGGCCUAACACAAAGUGAGGGCAUCUGUGCCAUCCUUGUAUUCGCCAGUGUAUCUUCUCGUGUGACCGGGCAACUGUUGGUGUGGUCAGUGAGUGAGCUUCCUAUUUUUAGCUCGCAUAUUUCAGAGGCACCUACAUUCAAUGCAAAAUUUUAAACACAAAGAGGAGGUGCGGUGACAGUGUUCUCAGCCCAACUGUGUGGAAUCAUCUAGAACCUUGCUGUCCGUCCACCCCUUUCACCUCUGUCCGGCUGGGUCAUCUCUGGAGUUAGCAUGGUUCCUUUAUAGCACGUUUUCCCAAAGGUGUCUGCAUAUUUUGUUUUAGCAAAAUCAUUUUUUUCUAUUUCCACUCUUUAGAAUUAAAAUGGAAAAUACUUCCUUUUUGAUUAGUGUUUGCAUUUCAGUGCUCUUGUUCAAAUUUUCCCAAGCUCAGAAAAGGAAGGUGGCUGUAUGUAUCUUUCUCAGACUCUGCUACACACACUCACACACAAACAGAAGAGAAAGCUGAGGGUGGAGGUGUUCGGCCCACUCUUUUGCCAAGUAUUAGAUGACCUAAACAUUCAGAAAUGUUUGAGGUUGCUCUGUGUUACUGAUUUGGCGACGGCACUGGUGGAGGCAGGAUUGGUCUGUUGUCCAUGAGAAGAUUCACACUGCAGUGCCCACUAUCAGCUGAGAGGGUGAUCAGGACACAGUGCAGAGAGUCCAGCAGGAACAGGGCGGACAGCACGCAGUGCAGGCCAUCGUUUGCCGGGGCUGCGAACCACGCACAGCAGCGCCCUGGGACGCUGGCCUGGAAGAAUGGCCUUUUGGCGUGGGUCCCUGGGGAGGGGCACGUCAGCUUCCUUGUGGAACAGGGUGUUCUUAGGAGCUGGAAAUCUGCCUUCUCCGCAGAGAAGCUCUGCUUGUGCUCCCUCCUCGCUAGGGUUGACCCGGAAAACCACAGUUCUUGCAGUAGUGCCAGGGCGUGAGCAGAAUGGGCCCAGCUAUGUGGGUCCCUCUGCCUUUGUGCUUUGCCAAGCGUUUCCCUACCUGCUGGGGACAUUUCCUAGCUUUCUCCCCGAGACUCAGCAUCGACGCGAUGCCCACCUCAUCUCCCACCUUCAAUGCUGAUGAAACCCAAAUCCUCCCUGGUCUGGAGAUAACAUUCAAGAUUGUAGAAAAUGCCGAGCCUCCCUUGUAUCUCCAUGCACAUAAGAGUAGAAACUAAUCUCAGAGAAACGAAAUCAAUCUUAUUCCACGCGCGUUUAGCUUUGUGUUACAUGACUUCAGAUGUUACAAUGUGAUUUGUAAGGGAUGCUCAUGACUGCUGCUGGCCCUGCCUUCCCCGAUUCUGUCCAUUUCCCACCUGUCAGGGGUCCUUUCAAGGAGGAACCAGGAGGCCUACAUUCCUACUCUUGCAGGAGGGGCAACCCCGCAGCCUGGGCCCCCAGAGAGAUGCACGCACAUAAGGUGACAUGGCCUGAGGAGGCAGCGGAAGCAGGAGGCCGUGUGGGGGACCUGGGUCUGCAGGGUGGGGACAAGACUCUGAGAUGCCAGGCAGAGCUGGCAGUGCUAUUCUUGCUGGAGGGGCCUGUGACGUGCUACGGCAUCCUGGCUUUGUGGCUCUAGAAUGGCCUGUCUCUGGGCCCUCAUGAAGAUUCCCUGUACUACUGUCCGUGAAUAAACUUUUUCUGCUUAUAGCAGCCACUGCGGAUUCCACUGACUGCAACCAAAACCUCGUCCCGUACUUUCUAAGCACCUGCAGUAUUAUUUUACCAUUUGAGGGACAGUUACUAAUAUACGUAUUUCUUAUGAAAUUUACCCCUCUGACAGCACAGCACACAGGUGCUGACAGUGCAUGUGAUACUUCUUUGCUUCCGUAGUGGCACCAACUCAUUUCAGAAUGGCUCACACACAGCCAGUUUAGAGACCGUAUAAUUAAGAUACAGGUACUGAUGAGGUGCUUCAGGGAGAAGAACACUGCAAGAGCUGGAAAACACACGUGCUUUCUUGAAAGUGACUUCUCUGAGGGCUGUUUCUCCAAGAAUCUAACCGUGGCUGAACACUCUGAGUUUAAAGUAGGCAUUGAGCGCUACGUCCCUUCGGAACAGAGCUCUCUGCUGGCUUUUACGUGUUCAUUCCAUUUGAGUUCUUUCUCCUUAAAACAGAGCGCAGUCAAUUCUGUCUACAUUUAGUUCAGGCGUUUCUGCUGGACUCGAGUCCCCGUUCAACCCCAUCUUGUCCUGCACCACUGACCUCUCAUCGACUGCAAUCUGACUCCGUGUGGCGUCCUCCAUCCCGUGCUGAGAUGCGGCAUUGGGGGUGAGCAGGGUGCGCCAGCAGGAGCUCUGAGGCUGGCGCGUGGGGUGUGAGUGUCCGGAUACGUGCGUGGGGACACGGCUUUUGCCCCUUCCUACAGCCCAUCCUGGAGGGCCUCGUGCCCACGUGUGCACUGGAGUCACUCUAUGGGGUGGCUGCCCCGCCGUGGGAGUGGGGCUUCCAAGGGCAAUUCUGAGCACACGUACUUUUGCUGAGACCUGGGAAUGCCGCCCUUACACUUGGAUCUGUGAGGAACGGAACAAACACAACCCAUCCUCAAGACAUAGGAAAGACAGCAAGUUACGCUUACAGCGCUCCUGGCAUGUCCCAGGCAGGACACAGAGGAUUUCACAUGGAUAAACUUUAUCAUCUACACACGACGAUGAUGACUGCUCACGGCAGGCGGUUGUAUGGGGGGACUGACACCAUGAAGGUGAGAUAAACUGCUCAGAGCCACGCCAGCCUGAGCAGCUGGACCAGGGUCGGGGUCUGUCUUGUUCCAAACCCCAGCUCCUGAGCCCUGUGCUUUUAUCCCCCGUAGAUGCCUUGGGGAAGAGGGAAGGGAGAGCUUGCUGAGAGGGCUGGGGUGACUUUAGAGAAGUCCUUCCAGUGAGCCCUCAAGAAUGGGCAGGGUUUGCACAAGCAGAAAGAGAAGGGAGUUCUGAGCAGCAGGAACAGCCCACGAGAGGUCAAAGCAGCAAGUGUGGUCCCGUUUGGGCAACAGCAAAUCAACUGUCUGGUGGGACUAAGGACAUGAGGCGAAGAACACUGGGCUGGAAAAGGUUAGCUAGGGCUCUGAAUGUGAGCUUUAAGUGUGGGCUCACCUGACAGGCCACAAGGCCCUAGCAGGACCUCUGACCAGAGACGGCAGGGUGGAGUGUACUCCCGGAAGGCUAAUGGCAGCUACGCGCAGGACGGGGGACGAGGGACGUG